UCAGCUCGUGUCGUGAGAUGUUGGGUUAAGUCCCGCAACGAGCGCAACCCUCGACCUUAGUUGCCAGCAUUCAGUUGGGCACUCUAAGGUGACUGCCGGCUAAAAGUCGGAGGAAGGUGGGGAUGACGUCAAAUCAUCAUGCCCCUUAUGACCUGGGCUACACACGUGCUACAAUGGGCGGUACAAAGGGUCGCGAACCCGCGAGGGGGAGCCAAUCCCAAAAAGCCGCUCUCAGUUCGGAUUGCAGGCUGCAACUCGCCUGCAUGAAGCCGGAAUCGCUAGUAAUCGCGGAUCAGCAUGCCGCGGUGAAUACGUUCCCGGGCCUU
rnacentral:rRNA from 1 species